rnacentral:lncRNA from 1 species
AAAACUGGUAUCACAAAUGUGUAUUUAAGAAACAUUUGUUUAAACAGUAUAGUGCUCUAUACAAGGCAUAAUUAUGAAUAAUUAUUUGCCAUCAAGAGCGUUCUGAUUUUUGGUGAUGCUUCCCAGGGUUUACUAGGUGUAGAAAAUUCACAGGUGUUUUACCAUUACCUUUUUCUAGGACGAUGUAGGUUGCCAAAGGCCAGACAAACUGGCUUUUAUCCUAUGAAGCAAAAUGGAGAAUCAGAUUCUUGACUCCUGGUAUUUCUUUGAAUGUCCAUAGGCAAAACCUCACCAAUCCAUAGGUAUCAUUAAUAGACUUCACAUUCACACACACAUACUCACGCGUGCGCACAUACACACACAAACACCCAUUAUUUCUGUGCUUGCCCUUGCCUAGCUCUAAUUCCAAAAACAUGCCUCUGACUUAGUAGAUUUAGGACUCCAAAUCAGAAAAACCUAACAAUCAAUCCUAGUUUAAACACUGUAAUAAUUACGGUAUGUUUGGAAACCCACCCUCUGUAGUAGUCAUCCUAGUGCCUAGGAAAAAAAAUAAGAUGGUAAAUACAUACCACGUAACACAGUUGUAUUCCUGGCAUUAUCAGAACUGCAUGGGAAGAUAGCAACGGGAAGUAGCUCCUGCACCAGUGAUGAUAAGAACCAACCGAACUUUAUGGGAAGGGAACAGAAUCUGUAGCGUUGGGAGGAUCUAUGGCAUACCUAAAUAUGACCACAGAAUGCACCAGUUGUGACUGCAAAGGAGUGACAUUGUCAAAGUUUUCCAUUGUUACAUCAGGGGAACUACCACCAGCAGAAAGGAAAACCCAGAGCCUUCUGUGGCCUCUCAGCUAUUGUCAAAGGGAACACAAUGACUUUCUAGGGGAAAAGAGAGCAUCUUUCUAUCUCCUGUCAAGGUGUCAUCCAGCAAACACAUGCACGCCGCAUACCAAUAGAUUGCCAAGGAAUGGUAGCACUGCAUCAGCAUUUCUCCCGAAAUGCUUCCUCUGCUGGAGUCACCUAGCUGGCUGUUUAAAUCUGGAAUU